UGCUGAUGGCCUGCACCCCAGCAGAGUCGGAGCAGAACUUCUCUCGGACAACAUCUCCAGGACUCUACGCUCCAUAUGACUAGGCAGUUUGUGAAGACAGAUAAUCAAGAGAUGUGACAAACUGUACAGAAGUCAGUUCCAGAUCCACCCUCUACACCAGACCUCUCUCUCAUAUGGAUUGCUGUCUACUAGCAUAUUGUUUUCUCUUCAGACUUCGGUGGAUGCAGAUAUUACUCAGGGACAUGAAUACUUGAAUAUUGCAAGAAUAGAGAAAAACUGGAGAGGUUCUGCAAGGAGGAAUGGCAGAGGAUCCCCAAAUCCAAGUGUGAAAACCUUGUUGCAUCUUUCCCAAAAAGACUCAUGGCUGUAUUAGAUCAAAAGGGUGC
ensembl:lncRNA